rnacentral:rRNA from 1 species
GAUGAACGCUGGCUGCGUGCCUAAUACAUGCAAGUCGAGCGAACAGAUCAUGAGCUUGCUCCUCUUACUUUAGCUGCGCACGGGUGAGUAACACUUGGAUAUCCUCCCUCUAAGCCUGAGAUAACUUCGGGCAACCGGAGCUAAUACCAGAUCCUAUAUUUAACCGCCUGGUUCAAUAGUGAAAGACGGUUUUGCUGUCACUUAUAGAUGGAUCGGCGACGCAUUAGCUUGUUGGUAAGGUAACGGCUUACCAAGGCAACGAUGCGUAGCCGACCUGAGAGGGUGAUCGGCCACACUAGAACGGAGACGAGGUCCAGACUAAUACGGGAGGGAGGAGUGGGGAAACUAACGCAAUGGGAGAAAGCCUGACGUAGAAAAGCCGCGUGAGGGAUGAAGGUAUGCGGAUAGGAAAACUCUGUUAUUAGGGAAGAACAAAAGUGUAAGUAACUAGGCACGUCUUGACGGUACCUAAUCAGAAAGCAACGGCUAACUACGUG